UGUUAAAUGUUUCCGUUAAUUUACACCCAAAUUUCAACAUGAUUUACCUGUUAUUUGUAAUAACUGCAGCUUACUGUAAAUUUUUAGGGAAUACAUGUUAAAUAACGCCUCAUGUAUGUUAUUUAACACCUCAUUGCUAAAUAACAUUCAUUUUUGUUAUUUAACAGCACAACCGAACAUUCAAAGAUGGCGGCCAGAGUUAGAUGGUCUGGUAUGGUUUUGUAAGUUGCAAAACAAUGACUAAUUCAAUAUUGUCGAUGUUGCAUACUAAGAAAUUAAAUAUUGUAUGCAUUCACUGAAUGAAGGUUAGACAGAACACCACGUGAUUUCUGUACUGCAAAUGUUAUAAAGAAUCAUCUUGCUUUUAUUACCAUAAUCAUACCUCCCGAUUUUAAACGAGACACCUAACAUUUAAUUGACUAACUGCGCUCCAAAUCUGUGUGUGUAGAUGUGUGUGUGUGUGUGUCUUUCUGAUCACGUUCGCGCCACUUUCUGAAAUAACAGGUUCAUACAGUAUUUUUUGCAUUCUGGCAAAGAGCGAGUAAGAAGGCAUUUGAACCUGCAACGCAACGGACACACGGCCAUUCCAUGUCGGAGAAUCGCUCUGGUUACAUCGAGGAAAACCACAACAAUCCGAUGCAGAUGCAGGGCACUAUCCCUGAUCACACUGCUGAUCAAGAAGAUCUCACUGCAUGUAUCCCUCAGAACCAGAUGUCUCAGGACUUGAUAUGCCAGUGCAGCUGACCUUGAGAGUUCACUAGCUUUACCUGCAACGCCUCGUCUGAUACUUCUUGGAGAAACAGGAAACCACUUCCAACGCUGGAUGCUCAGCAUUGAGGGCCAGAUUGUGGGCGAAGGGAUCCAGUCGACCUUUGUGACAGGGCUGGCGUCUUUUUUCUCCGGUUUUUAUAUCUUCAACCUACAGUACCAAGAGGAGGCAGCGUGCACACUUGAAUUCAUCCAGAGACGCUUUGUGGGUAUAAACCCAGAAAAGGGGACAAAGGCUGCAAAGGGGAAAAAAAGAACGGUAAAUUCACACAUCGCCAGCCUCUUGCGCAGACUGAUGGACUUCCAGUGGGAUUUCAUUUCAAAAAGUGGAGGUGUGUUCAGGUGCGUUCUGGGCAAUGUAGUGUAUUUUUCUGUGAUUGAUCCGAUCUAUAUGUGCCUACAUUUGUAAGUAUUUAACUUUCAGUGUUUCUAUUACAAUAAAAAAGUUAAUUUGAAGA